rnacentral:misc_RNA from 1 species
GCUCCAUCGGCAGAAAGCUUCCUCGACAACUUUCUCGUCAAGCCAUUAAUAUCUGAUUCAUUAGGCCUUAGGCGACCACCAGGAAGCUUGAAAAUUGAAUUACGUAUUUGAAACAGCAACAAAUGAGGAUGCUUGAAUAGUUCAACCAGCAAAACUGCUUCGACACAAGUCCUCAAUCCGUAAGCGGCAUAAUUGGAUUUCAUCCUGAGGACGCGAUCAGCCAAGGUCUCAUCCUUGAAAAGAAGAGGUUGUUUGGAUCCAAAGUAGUAGUUACUGAGCGGGUAAAUAUCGAUGGCUAGGCUUUGGUCGGCGGCGGAAGCUUCGUCGUCGUCGAUAGCAUGCAGACGUCCGUCAUCUCCCAUGGCGUGAAUUAAGGAAAAAGAGGAGAGAAAUCAAGAGAUGGAGAUGAAAAAGGAAGAUAAGGAGUAAAGUGAGUAAAGAAUAUAGGUUUUGGAAGUAUGAAGAUGGGGUGUUGGUUUGGAGUGG